CCCUGCGUCGAUAUAAGGCCCCAAUCCCAUCUCAUCAAGACAUUUCAUUACCCCAAACUAAAAUGUUUCUGUUACCUUAGCCAAACCAAGAUUGAGGAAAAUAAUUCGGAACACUAGUUGUGCUGACCAACCAACCAUGUUUCCUUUACAACGCGGCAAUGAGCUGGUAAUCCAGUUUUCUAAUGGUCACCACCCGCAGCACAAAAUCUCCCAAGAUCUGAUUCUGGAUGAUCAAGAUAUCGAUCAAUCUCCCCUUGUCGGUUAUUCCGAUAAAAAAUUGCGUACUAGCCGUCCAAAAAAACUAUUUUAUCAUGAGGCUGAUACCUGCCACGCUAAUUCUAACCAAGAAUAUACAAAAAAGAUGGUUCAUAGAGAGAUUGAAAAGCAAAGGAGGCAAGAAAUGGCUACCCUUCAUGCCUCUCUUAGAUCCCUUCUCCCUCUUGACUUCAUCAAGGGAAAGCGUUCGAUAUCUGAUCAAAUGAACGAGGCAGUGAAUUACAUAAAUCACCUUCAGAAGAAUAUUAAAGAAUUGAGUGACAAGAGGGAUAAGCUUAAGAAGAAACCCUCCAUAAUUAAUUCCAGCCCUGAAGACCAUGAGAAUUACAAGCAUGCAUCUAGCGGUUUCACUGUCCACCAGAAUAGUGGUGGAGCUGUGGGGAUUGAAAUCAGUGGAUUCAGUGAGGAAGAGGUUCCACUUUCGAAAUUGCUUGAACUGGUGUUUGAAGAGGGACUUGAAGUUGUUAAUUGUCUUUCAACCAAAGUCAAUGGCAGAUUACUCCACAGUUUGCAGUGUGAGGUUGACAAUUCCGGCAGUGUAGAUCUAUCUGAGCUGAGAAGGAAAUUUUCCGAUGUCAUUCCAUCACUUCGUUGUUCUGCGUAACUUUGUGGACUGGAAAUUAACACAUAACACAUAUAUCUGCCCUUUCUAACUGUUUAUCUCAACUCUCAAGUGAUGAACACCAGCACAGAAUAUUUUGAUAAUUAAGUAAGGAAGCAUAGGAUAGAUAUAACGUUAAGAAGAAGAAAAUUAUUUCAAUAGUGUAACGAAUCUGCUUCAUGCUUCCCUUAGCUUAAUAAUAAUUCCAUCAUGGCAUCAUUAUUAAUGCUCUGCAAAUAUGUGAAGGAGAUGCCCUCUUAUUAGCCACUUCCCCCUUUUAUAUAGUUUAUCAUCAGAAGGACCUUGUUGAUAUUCUUUAAGUGAUUAUUUCUAAAGUAGAAUCUGGAUAUUAAUUUGGUUCUAUAUACAUUACUUUUGUUUCA